rnacentral:rRNA from 1 species
AUUGAACGCUGGCGGCAUGCUUUACACAUGCAAGUCGAACGGCAGCGCGGGGCAACCUGGCGGCGAGUGGCGAACGGGUGAGUAAUAUAUCGGAACGUACCCAGAAGUGGGGGAUAACGUAGCGAAAGUUACGCUAAUACCGCAUACGAUCUACGGAUGAAAGUAGGGGACCGCAAGGCCUUAUGCUUUUGGAGCGGCCGAUAUCUGAUUAGCUAGUUGGUGAGGUAAAGGCUCACCAAGGCGACGAUCAGUAGCUGGUCUGAGAGGACGACCAGCCACACUGGAACUGAGACACGGUCCAGACUCCUACGGGAGGCAGCAGUGGGGAAUUUUGGACAAUGGGCGCAAGCCUGAUCCAGCAAUGCCGCGUGAGUGAAGAAGGCCUUCGGGUUGUAAAGCUCUUUUGUCAGGGAAGAAACGGUAGAGGCUAAUAUCCUUUGCUAAUGACGGUACCUGAAGAAUAAGCACCGGCUAACUACG